rnacentral:lncRNA from 1 species
CAGUUUGUAACCUGGCCUGGCCUUCUGUGGAAUUUGGGUAGAAACUUAAUGUCAUCUGGCCUACCAGGUAUUGAAUCUCACCAUCCAGGCCUGGAAUCUUACUCUCCAAAUAUGGAACCCGGACUUCCAAGUAUAAAAUAAGGAUUAGCCAUCAUGAAACAUGUUCUAUAGAACCCGAAUCAUAAGGCAAUCAUCUGGACCUCCAAUUAUACAAUGUGGUGGGCAUUAGGCCUAGAAUUUGACAUUCCAACUAUGGAAUCUGUAUUUCUAGGCAUGAAAUAUGGCCAAGAAAGUAAUGAAUCCUGAUCUACAGAAGUGGAAUCUUACUCUUCAUGUUGGGAUUUGUAUUAGUUAGAAUUCCCCAGAGAAACAGAACCAAUAGGAUAUAUAUUUAAGUCCCAGAGUCCAAAGGCCAGAGAAGCAGAAGCUCCAGUGUCUAAGGGCAGGAGAAAAUGGAUGUUCCAGCUCAAUAAGAGAGAGCAACUUUGUCUUUUCUUAACCUUUGUGUUCUAUUGGGCCGUUGUGGAUUGGACGAUGCCCACCCACAUUGAUGACAAUGGUCUUCUUUACUCAGUCUAUCAAUUUAAAUGUUAACCUCUUCCAGAAAUGCCCUCACAGAUACACCCAGAAAUAAUGUUUUACCAGCUAUCUGGGCAUUCCUUAGCUCAGUCAAGUUGACACAUAAAAUUAACUAUUGCAAGAACUUUACCAUCUAUAGGUAAAACCUGUCUUGCAGAGUGUGGAAAUGUAAACUUCCAAGCUAUUACUUCAUCCUCCAUUUGUAAAACUCUACCUCCAGGUAUAGAACCUGGCACACCAUGACUGUAAUCUCAACCUCCAAGGAUGGAUCCUGACUAUACAAGCAUGGAACCUAGCAAUCCAUAUUCAGAAUCAAAAUCUCAAAGCAUGGAAAAUCGUAAUAGGCUGAAACCUGAAAUUGCACAGACAGAACUUGUGUGCCAUUCACAGAAGUUGGAUUUCCUUGCAUGGAAUCUGUUAUGCCAGGCAUAGAACUAGGGACUCCAUAUGGAAUCACAAUAUCCAUGCAUAAAAUCUGGCCCUACAAGCAUGGGACAUGGCACUCUAUGUGUGGAAUCUCAAUCUUCAACAUGGAACAGACCCACAAGCAUAAAACCUAACAUUUCAUAUUUGGAAUCUCAGUGUUGAGCAUGGAACAUGACCUUAAAAGUGUGGAAUCUGGCACUCCAGUCAUGACACCUGGCAUGUUUAUUAUAGAUCUUGGCUUUCCAAGAUCAGGAACCUCAUUUCCCAUACAGGGAAACUGGCAGUCCAUGUACGGAAACUCAAUCUCCAAAAAUUGAACCUGGCCCUAGUAGCACAGAACUGGGACUCAAUGGAUUAAAUCUCUAACUCUAAGCAUGGAACAUGGCUUCACAAGUGUGUGACCUGUCACCCCAGACAUGAAACCUAGAGUUUCAGUUGUAGAAGUUUGCUCACUAAAACAUGAAGCUUGGCCUCCAAACCAUGAACCUGGCACCAGCUGUUUGGAAUCUCAACUCUAACAUGGAACAUGGUCAUACAAGUAUGGAACCCAGGAAUCCAUGUAUGAUACUUCAAUAUCUAGGUAUGGAAUUUGGCCCUACAAGCAUAGAAUCUGGCACCGCAUGUAUGGAUUUCAAUAAUCAUCUAACCUUGCAGUUCAUACAUGGAAUCUGGUACUGCAUUUAUGGAAUUUCAAUCUCCAAGCAUAGAAUCUAUAUACUUAAAGCAUGAAACUUGGCCCUAUGAGCAUUCAACAUGGCACCCCAUGUGUGGAAUCUCAAUCUUCUAGUAUAACGUGGCCUUAUAAAUGUGGAAUCUGGCAUUCCAGGCAUGAAACCUUGGGUUUUAGUCAUAGAAGUUGGCUCUCCAAGCCUUAAAAACCUAUUUCCCCAGGCAUGGAACCUGGCAAUGCAUGAAUGAACUCUCAGUCUCUGAGUGUGAAACUUGAACUACUAAUGCUGAAAUUGGUACUUACUGUAUAAGAACCUCAAUACUCAACCACGGGACCUGGCCCUAAAAGCAAGUAACUUAGCAUUAUAUGUAUGGAAUCUCAAAACUCCAUCCAUGAAAACUGGCCUUACCGUCAUGGAAUCUUGCACUCCAUGUAUGAAACCUAGACUUGCAGGCAUUUCAUUAAUUGGGACGUCCAUAUAAGCCCCACCCCUACAAACACGGAAACUGGUACUGUGUAUAUGAAUUCUCAAUCUCCAAAUAUGGAACAUACCCUUACAAGUGUGGAAUCUGUCACUCUAGCUAAAACUCCGGGCAUGGAAACUGGCAUUUGAGUCACAGAAGCCAACUCUACAUGCAUGGAACCUGGUCUCCCAGAUACGGAAUCUGGCACUCUGUGUAUGGAAUAUCAAUCCCCAGCCAUUGAACCUGACCAUAUAAACAUGGAACCUGUACUCCAUUUAUGAAACAUGGACUUUCAGAGAUAUAUUUAGCUCUCCUAGGUGUAAAUCCUGCCUUUUUAUGCAUAUAUAUUCUGCUCUUCCGCAUAAAACCUGGCUCUAUAAACAUGGAAAUUGGGUUUCCAAUUAUGAAACCUGACUUUCCAGGGUUGGAAAGUAGCUCCUGAUGUGAAUCCUGCCUCUCUAGUACCCAGGAGCAGCAAGAAACACUGAAUUUUGGAGUCUUAUCUGGAAAAGACUUGGAAUUGUAAUCCCCCACUUACUGACUGUAAGAGCCUUGGAUCUGUUCCUGAAAACAUGGUGUUCAAGUUGAACAUAUGAAAACAGAACUUCUUUCUUCUUCAAUGGAAGUGACACCUAACAAUUUGGAUUUAGAUUUCUCUGCCUCUUACAUCUACUGCUUGAUAAUGUAGAAACCAACAUUCAAAUCCAGGGAAGCAAAUCCUUUUUUAAAAGAUUUGAUUAAAUUAUCUGAGGAUAAAUUGUGCCUUGUUUUUUAUUUUUAACUAUAUUUUUGAGAGGGAGCUUCACAAACUCUUUAUUAUUCCCUUAAGAUCCAACUUUUGGUUCUUAUGACAUCAGUUUCAGAUGAGGACGCACAAGUCACUGUUCCCAUUACUAUAUUGGGAGGGUGGGGUUCUGAAAAUGUGCAAUGUGAGUGGUGAGUCUUUGCUGGAAGGGUACUAUCUUCUCAUCUACCAAAGGGAAGGUGAGUAGAAAAUUCCUAAAACUAAAAAAUCAAGAAGUGGCAGUAUCUAUUUGUUAUUUAAAAAUAUCAAGGUUAAUAGCAAAUAAAUCUACUAAAUUGAAUUUAAAAUGAUGACCUACAUCAAGAAAUACCAUAAGUCAAGUAAAAAGAUCAGUGACAAAAUGGGAAAAAAUAUUUGCAACUUAAAUGUCAGACAAAGGUUAAUUUCCAUGGUAUAUAAAGUUUCUCAAAAAGGAUAAUUAAAAAGGUCAGCAAUCACAGAAGAAUCAGCUAGAGAUAUCAAUAAUUAUUAGAAAAAGAAAUGCAAAUGGCCCUUAACAUUAUGAAAAGAUGUCCAACCUCACUUAAAAGGCAUUCAAAUCAAAGCUAAACUGAGAUACUAUUUUAGACUUAUCAAAUUGGCAAAAAUCCAAAAUUUAAGAAUACUCUGUUGGCAAGACUGGGAAAACAGACACUCUCAUGCAUUCCCAGUCAUAAUGCAAAUUGGUUCAAUCCCUACAGAGGAUAAUUUGGCAAUAUAUAGCAGAAUUGUUUAUGCAUAUACCCUUAACCCAGGAAUCUCACUUCUAGGCGCCUAACACAAAGAUUAUACUAGUGAAAUAUGAAAAGAUACACACACACACACACACACACACACAAAAAAAACAUACAUACAUAUAUAUCUUUAUACAUAGAUCUAUUUAUCUAUGUAUAGAAAGAGGCAAUUUAUUAUAGCACUAUUUGUAAUAGCAAGACUGGAUACAAUCAGAAUGCCUGUCAAAGGUGACUGGAUGAAUAAAGUAUGGUACUUCCAUACACUGGAGUAUUAAAAAAACUGCAAAAAGGAAAGAGAAACAUCUCUGAAUUCUCCCAUGAAGUAGUCUGCAGGAUAUGUUAAAUGAAAAAAAGAAUUACAAAAAAUAUACAGUAUGCCACUUACAUCAAAAAUGUCUUGCCAUGCCAGAAAGCAAUAGAGCUAUCAAAGAAUGCUAAGACUUUAUAGAAAGGACUCAGGAUAAAAUGGCACAGCCAAUUUUGAAAAAGUUUGGCAGUUCCUCAAAAACGUGAACAGAGUUAUCGUAUAACCCAGCAAUUUCAUUCCUAAGUAUAUACCCCCAAAAUUAACAACGUAUGUCCACACAAAAACUUGCACAUGAAUGUUCACUAGCAGCAUUAUUUGUAACCUGCCCAAGGUGGAAACAACCCAAAUGUCUAUUGACUGAUAAAAGAUAAAAUGUGGUAUAUCCAUACAAGGGAAUAUUAUUUAUCCAUAGAUAGGAAGUACUGCUACAUGUUAAAAUAUGGAUGAACCUUGAAAACACUCUGCUAAGUGAAAGAAGCCAGUCACAAAAGGCCACAUAUUAUAUGAUUUCAUUUGCAUGAAACGCCCAGAACAGGAAAAUCUGUAGAGACAGAAAGUAGAUUGGUAGUUGUCAGGAGCUGGGAGUGGGAGGGGGAAUGGGUAGCGACUGCUAAUGGGUAUGUGGUUUCUUCUUCGGGUAAGGCAGUUAUCCUGAAAUUAGAUGGUGGUGAUAGUUGCACAACUUUUUGAAUAUACUAAAAACCAUUGGCCGGGCGUGAUGGCUCACGCCUGUAAUCCCAGCACUUUGGGAGGCUGAGGGGGCGGAUCACAAGGUCAGGAGAUUGAGACCAUCCUGGCUAACAUGACUAAAAAUACAAAAAAUUAGCCGGGUGUGGUGGCAGGCACCUGUAGUCCCAGCUACUCGGGAGGCUGAGGCAGGAGAGUGGUGUGAACCUGGGAGGCGGAGCUGGCAGUGAGCCGAGAUUGUGCCACUGCACUCUAGCCUGGGCGACAGAAAGAGACUCCCCCGCAAACAAACAAACAAACAAAAAAACCCAUUGAACUGUACAAUUUAAAAUGGUGACUUUUAUGGUAUAUUGAAUUGUUUCUCAAUUAAAAAGGCAUAUACAUUAGGGCUGGGCAUGGUGGCUCAUGCCUGUAAUCCCAGCACUCUAGGGGGCUGAGGCAGGAAGACAACUUGAGUUCAGGAGCUCGAGACCAGCCUGGCCAAUACGGUGAAAUCCUAUCUCUACUAAAAAUACAAAAAUUAGCGGGGGCAUGGUGGUGGGCACCUGUAAUCUCAGGUACUCAGGAGGCUGAGGCAGGAGAAUCGCUUGAACCCAGGAGGUGGAGGGUGCAGUGAGCCGAGAUCAUGCCAGUGCACUCCAGCCUGGGAGACAGAGCGAGACUGUCUCAAAAAAAAAAAAAGAUAUAUACACUAAAUUUUUAAAGAAAAUAUUCAUUGAUAAACAAAAAACAACACAAAAGGACUAAGGUACCAACAUAAAUCAGCUCCAUUUGCCAAAGUCGGGACAAUUUGAGCAUCAAAGUAGUAACUAUAAGUGACUCAAACAUAUAAAAUAUGUUUAAAUCCAUGAUUUGGCCAGGCGUGGUGACUCAUGCCUGUAAUCCUAGCACUUUGGGAGGCAGAGGCGGGUGGAUCACGAGGUCAGGAGUUCAAGACCAGCCUGGCCAAGAUGGUGAAACUCCAUCUCUACUAAAAAUACAAAAAAAAUUAGCCGGGCAUGGUGGCACACACCUGUAAUCCCAGCUACUCCGGAGGCUGAGGCAGAGAAUUGCUUAAACCUGGAAGGGCGGAGGUUGCAGUGAGCCGAGAUCGUGCCACUGCACUCCAGCCUGGGCAACAGAGCAAGACUCUGUCUCAAAAAAAAAAAAAAAUCCAUGAUUUGAAGAAUUCCAGAAAACAAAUUUAUUAUCUUGAAAACUAUUAAUAAUAGAAAAAGAAGCAUUUAUUCUGUCUUUUCUGUACAAACUAUGCCUAAGGAUAACCAAAUAGUUAAUGAGAGAAGAUUCUCUUUACAGAAUUAUUUAAAGUAAUAAACAAUGAAGCAAUAAUAGAAUAUGAUCAUUUUGCAAUUCUGAUGAAUUAUUGGAUCUGUGCAAUAAUUAACAAUGGCUGAUAACAUCACAGAAAGAGAGACAAUCACACAUUACAUAUGAUGCACCCAAUAACACCUAUGAAACACUCUUGCUAAAAAACUAAACUAAACAAAUCUAACCAGAAUCUAAUCAGGCAUCAGCAAACAAAGAAACUUGUUAAACAACUUAACAGGGAUGCAAUUUUGAAAACAUACAUCAUGGGAAAUUCUACAAAACAAUCUGGUUUCUUCAACAACAACACUGCAAGGAACAAAGCAUACAAAGGGAUGGCAGUGUAAUCUACAAAUCACAGACCUAAGAGACACAUUAAACAAUGCCAGUGCAUGAACCUUAUUUGAAUCUGGAUUCAAACAAAUAAACCACUAAAAAUUUAAAGACAAUAAAACAUUGUUUUUAGACAAUUAAGAAUUUAUGAACACUGACAAAAUAUGUGAUAAUGUUAAUGAAUUAUUAAUAGUUUUAGAGAUUGUGAUGGUUAAUUUUAUGUAUCAACUUGACUGGGCCAUGGGGGUCCAGAUAUUUGGUCAAACAUUAUUCUGAGUAUGUUUGUUAAACAUUAUUCUGGGUGUGUUUUUGGAUGAGGUUAACAGUUAAAUCAAUAAACUGAAUAAGGUGGAUUGCUCUUCUUUGAUGCAGGUGGGCCUCAUCCCAUCAGUAAAGGCCUGAAUAGAACAAACAGGCAGAUCCUCCCUUGAAUAAAAGGGAACUCUUUGUGCCUUACUGCUUACACUGGGAAAUGUUGUUUUCCCAUCUUGAAGCCCCAGUUGGAAAAUCUGUUCUCCUUGAGUCUCAAGCCUGCUGGCUUUCAGACAGGAACUGACACCAUUAGCUCUCCUGGUUCUCAAGCUUUCAGACUCAGACUGGAACUAUACUUUGCCUCUCCUUGGUCUCCAGCUUGCCAAUUGUAGAUUUUGGGAUGUCUCAGCCUCUAUAAAUUAUGUACCUAAUUUCUUAUAACAAAUCUCCUCUCUCUCUUUCUUUACACACACACACACACACACACACACACACACACACACACACACACAAAUCUCCUAUUGGUUCUAUUUCUCUGGAGAACCCUGACUAAUACAGGGAUGGUAAGGUGUUAUAGUUAUAGUUAAGAGUCCUUAUCCUUUAGAAAUACAUAUAUGAAAUACUUACAGAUAAAAUGAUAUGAUGUCUGACAUUUGCUUCAAAAUAAUCUUAGGAUGGAAGGAAAUGGAUAAAGAUUUAGAUGAAACAGACUGGCUAUCUGUUGGUAAUUGUUAAAGCUGGGUGAUGGAAGCAUGGGGUUUCCUCAUGCUAUUCUCUCUGCUUUUGUAUAUGGAUACAGUUUUCUUUAGUGAAAAAGUAAAAAAUGGAAGAAAACGAAAAAUAGGAAAUUGAAAAAUAUUAGUAGUAUGGGGAAUUACUUUUUCUCAUAACCACUACUGUAGAAUAAUUUGACUCUUUAUAAUAUGUGUGUGUGUAAAACUAAGUAUCUUUUAAAAAUUAAAAAGUGAAGAGAACCUACCAUAAAUAUAAUAUGUAAUGGUGAAACUUUAGAUGCAUUCUCAUUAAAGGUAGAAACAUCAACGAUUCCUGCUCUUUGACAUUGUACUGGAGUCUUAGCCUUUGCAAUAAGACAAGAAAAAGAAGAGCUAAAUAGAAUAGGAGAAAAAAAUUAUUGUUGUUUGCAGACAAUACUGUAUGUAUAGAUAAUCCAAAAUUAUUUACAAACUGCAGGAAAACUGCUGGAUAUAAGAGCAAGACACAAAAAUCAAUAUUGUUCCCAUAUAUUGGGAAUAACCAAUAGUAAUUAGAAAAUGUGGUAUAACAAAAUUAUAUACACAAUGGCAACAGAAACUGUAAGGUACAUAGAAAUAAAUCUAUCAAAAGGUGGGAAGACAUUUUUGAAGAAAAUUAUAAAACAUUAUUGAAGGACAUAAGAAUAGACCUGAAUGAAAUCAUAAAUAUAUCAAUUAUUUCCCAAAUUAAUCUCUAAAGUCAAUGCCUCAAACCAGAAACUCAAUAACAGAACUUUUUUGGAACCCAAUAAACUGAUACCAAAUUUCACCAUUUCAAAAUUUUGAGAAACAUUUUAAAAAUAAGAACAAAGGGAGGCUUGUUUUUACCAAGAAUUAAGGCUCAUUAGAAAGCUGUUGUACCUAAAAUAGUGAAAUAUUGGGAUAGGGAUAGAAAAAUAAAUUAAUAGAAUAGGCCAGAGAUUCCAGAAAUAGCCUCAUAUAAAAUUUGAAAUAAUGUAUUAUACAGAUGAUAGUUGAGAAAUGAUGGACAAUUCAAUAAAUGGAGUAAUUGGCUUGCCCUGCUGGGGAAAAAAUGAAGUUAGAUUCUUACUCAACACAUAAUAGAAAAAUAAAUUCCAGUUGGAUUAAAGCUCUAAAUAUGAAAAACAAAAGUUAAAUUUGUUAGAAGAACAUACAGGGGGAAAUAUUUCUAUUCUCAAGGUACAGAACACAAGACACAAAAAGCCAAAAUAAUAAAAGGAGGAAUUGAUUGCAUCAUAAUUUAAAUUUUCUGUGUAACAAAAGACCCCAUCCAAAGCAAAAAGAUAGUGACAGAUUAGAGAAGAUAUUUUCAACAUAUCAGAAUAUAUACAGGUCCUACAAUUUGAUAAGAAAAACAAUCUAAUAAAAAGUUGAGCAGAAGAUAUGAAUGAUUUACAGAAGAGAAAAUCCAAACAACAAAUAAAUACAAGGAAAGAUACUCAAAAUACUCAGUAAUCAGAGAAAUAAAAAAGCAAAAUGAGAUGCUAUUUUUACACCUACCAGAUUGAUAAAAAUUAAAAAGUCUGAAUAUGAAGAUGUUGGGAAACUAAAAUGCAGCUUGUUGGACAACUAAUUUAAUACAACUAAUUUAGAGAUAAAAUUCAGGAUAUGGUCCUAUUUAGUUGAAAACUCAUACAUUAUAUGACACAGCAAUACUUAUACUCAGCAUAUACUUCUAGAUAUACACCUGGGAGAAAUUCUGACACAUGAACACAAAGAGACAUAUGAGAACAUUCACUGUAGCACUUUAAAAUAAAAAUAAAUGGGGGAAAAGCUGGAAAUAAAUUAUAAAAGUUGAAUAAAUUUCUGGUGAACAAAAUGUGCCAUAUCCAUAUGCUUAAAUACUAUGCAGUAGUUAAAAAUGAAUGAACUAGAUCUAGCCUAUGUAUCAGCAUAGACAGAUGUCAAAAAUAAUGUAGAAUUUAUUUAUUUAUUUAUUUUUGGAGACAAAGUUUCAUUCUUGUCAUCCAGGCUGGAGUGCAAUGGUGGGAUCUCAGCUCACUGCAACCUUCUUCUCUUGGGUUCAAGUGAUUCUCCUGCCUCAGCCUCCCAAGCAGCUGGGAUUACAGGUGCCCACCACCACGCCCAACUAAUUUUUGUAUUUUUAGUAGAGAUGGGGUUUCACCAUGUUGGCCAGGCUGGUCUCGAACUCCCGACCUCAGGUGAUCCGCCCACCUCGGCCUCCCAAAGUGCUGGGAUUACAGACGUGAGCCACCAUGCCCCACCAUAAUGUAGAGUUUAAAAAGCAAUUUCCAGAAUAGUACAAUGUAUCAAUUAUUGAGAGUAAGAGAAUGGGGACAAGCAUAGACAGCUGUUUUGAGAAGUUCUGCUGUGAAAUGGUAGGGAUUGUAAUAGCUGGAAGUGGGAGUAUAGUGGCUAAGGAGAGUUAUAAUUAUUUUUUUAAAUAAAUAUUACUACAGCUUGUUUGCAAAUGGGUGGGAAUGAUCUGGUAGACAGAAUGAAAAUCAUAAAGAGCAAAAUCCUUGGGAAGGUGGAAGCUUGGGCUCCAAAGCACAGAAGGAGGAUGCUACUAUAUUUUAGGCAGCUAAAUGGUAAGUGGUCAUGGGAUGGAAUGAAGGCGCUGAAUUUGUAGGCUGUUGAGGAGGUAGAACCUUCAAGAAGUAAUGCUAAUUGGAUGUCUGGUGACAUUAUAAAGGGGAGUCUGGUUAAAAGGCAGGACAAAGGACUUCUCUCCUGUCACAGACUCUGCC